ACGAGGGAACACCGUGGAACAAACCACGUAAAAAAAAAAACAGCGAACGCGUGAACCUAACGCGAGAACAGAACGCCGACGGUUUUACAAUUUUCGCGUUGCAUCGAUUAAAUCGACAAGCUCGCUUGGCCGAUAAUUAAUUAAUUUUUGAAGGGAGACAAUUUCGAGGUGAAGACACAGAACGUGUAAAUACAGGUGGCGCGAGACCAGAUUUUUCGAGCAGAAAAAUUCCCGUUGCAAUCUCCGAAGGAAUCGCGCGGUAUAAAUUAGACGGUAACGGCGCGAUGAACGCGUUAGAACGAUGCGAGAGAACAGUUGACGCGAGGCCACGUUUCGACGGCGCGUGCCGAGGGCAGCUUGACAGAGCGAGGGAAACGAGCGAACGCGGAACGCGAUCCUCGACGCGGCCGAGUUGGAAGAAAAUUCACGGAAGAAACGCCGCGGCGUGAAGUAAAGUGACAGGCGAGCGCGGGCCGCCACGUUUUCGACGGUGGCGCGUGUCGAGGGCAGCGAGUGUCACGAGCCGAGGGAAGCCAGCGAAUUCUCGGUGCGAAACGAUUCCCGUGGAACGUCGUCGAACGGUUCCGAUUGAUCGUGGUAAAAACCUGUGCAGAGACGAGAACGAAAAACCGAAAAAAAAAAACUUACGUGUUGUAGGAGAUACCGUCACCGUCGAGGCCGGGUACCGCGAUCAGGAUCAGGAUGACGACGGUGGCAGGCAGAGGCAGAGAACGGGGCCUCAUCGCUGCUGCCGUGUUCGUCGGCGCCGGCUCUCCGCUGUUUACGCGAGGACACGGUAAACAAAACUGAGGCCGAGAGGCGGCUCGCGUCUGACAUUAAGGAUGCUCUCGGCCGGCCGUGUUCGUCGCCGUCUUUGUCGUCGUCGACGUCGACGUCGCCAUGCAGUGCGCGCACCGUCCGACACCACCACGGCGGCCAACGCUUUUGCAGAUCAGCGCUUAUCGAUCGGCGCGUAACGGCGGAGCGGUAUCGAGCCGUGCCGGACUUGCGCAACAACCGCCGCCGUCGCUCCGCGGAUCUCGCCGCCAAUCAACGCCGACCGCCGCCAAUCAGCGCCGACCGCCGCCGACCGCCGCCAAUCAACGCCGACCGCCGCCAAUCGCCGCCGAACGCCAUCGCGCCGACGCGACGCGAACGCGCCUUCGGAUCGAAGCACAGUGUUCCUAACCGAUCAGCGAUCCAUCGCGGAGGUUCCAAUUCGCAACGAGUCGCUUAUCCGGAACUUUAAGAUCGAAAAUAUCAAGUACAUUAAGAUGAUUUUUGUGACAAGCAGAGUGCGGAUCUUUAUGCAUUUAUUGAAAGUAUUGAUCAGAGAAAUAGAGGAUAAUUAUAAUGUUAGAAUAAUUAUGUAUAUAACGAA